rnacentral:rRNA from 1 species
UACGUAGGGGGCGAGCGUUGUCCGAAGUUACUGGGCGUAAAGCGCGCGUAGGCGGGAGAUUAAGUGAGAGGUGAAAGGCUGGGGCUCAACCCCAUGCAGUGCCUCUCAUACUGGUCUUCUUGAGGGCGGUAGGGAGAAGUGGAAUGGCUGGUGUAGCGGUGAAAUGCGUAGAGAUGGGGGAGAACACUCGUGGCGAAGGCGGCCAGCUAGACCAGUUCUGACACUGAGGCGCGACAGCGUGGGGAGCAAACAGG